UACGGAGGGUGCAAGCGUUAUCCGGAUUCACUGGGUUAAAGGGCGCGUAGGCGGCGCAACAAGUCACUUGUGAAAUCUCCGGGCUUAACCCGGGAGCGGCCAAGUGAUGACUGUCGUGCUAGAGUGCGGAAGGGGCUACUGGAAUUCUCGGUGUAGCGGUGAAAUGCGUAGAUAUCGAGAGGAACACCUGCGGCGAAGGCGGGUAGCUGGGCCGACACUGACGCUGAGGCGCGAAAGCCAGGGGAGCGAACGGG
rnacentral:rRNA from 1 species